GACGAGGGGUCCUAGCGUUGUUCGGAAUCACUGGGCGUAAAGCGUUUGUAGGCGGCUCUGUAAGUCGGGUGUGAAAUCCCACGGCUCAACCGUGGAAGUGCAUUCGAAACUGCAGGGCUUGAAUAUGGAAGAGGAGAGUAGAAUUCCAGGUGUAGUGGUGAAAUACGUAGAUAUCUGGAGGAAUACCGGUGGCGAAGGCGGCUCUCUGGUCCAAUAUCGACGCUGAGAAACGAAAGUGCGGGGAUCAAACAGG
rnacentral:rRNA from 1 species